UCAUUCUGAGGCCUCGGCCAAAGGAAUAAUCAUUCUUGGGAGGAAGCUUCCCUCAUGAUGAUGACAGAGAUAAGCCAAGUGGAGACAUGGGAGGCUUCUUGAGGGAUGCUUGGAACUGGUUACCUGUUGAGCAAAGCUGGUCCCACAGCCCAAACAGCCCAAAGUCAAGAGGCAAGGGUUCUGCUUUUGGUGAGAAUAACAGCAAAGUCCCACGGCACACAGAGUGUGGAUCUACAGAGGAUUGAAAAAACUGGAACAAUAAUUCAAGCAGUGCCUGUAACCCCAGCUACUCGGGAGGCUGAGGUGGGAGGAUCUCUUGAGCCCAGGAGUUUGAGGCUGCUGUGAGCCGUGAUUGCACCACUGCACUCCAGCCUGGGCAACACAGCAAGACCCUGUCUCAAAAAAAAAAAAAAAUUCAACCAAGCAUAUUAUCACUACUUCCCCAUUUCCCUUGCUGGACUACAAGCUCCCGAUGGCAGGAACUGGGAGAAGCUACUGUGUUUUCCAGAGCUUGGAACAUAAGCACUCCAUGAAUGCAUACUGCACAAAUCAGCUAAUCACCGGAAGCCAGAGUAUUUUGGCGCCCUGACAGACUUGGAUUAGGUGAUGUUGCUUCUCAGAUGCUGAGAAAGUGUCCUGAUGCCGCAGUUGAGUGCUGACCCAGAUUUGGAAGGAGAUGAAAGGAGUAUGUUUUCAUGCCUAGUUUCUGCCCUCCUCUUUCAGCUUCUCAAAGUCUCCACUCAACAUUUAAUCACUCCGGCAUUUGUCUGACAUGCUGUGAAAGGGUGUUUUGAACAGCUCUAUUUCGGGAUUUUGGCAACGUCACCUCCCCACCCAUCAACUCCUUCCACUCAAUCUGUUCCCACGAGGGCAGAGAAGUGUUACUUGUCCUGUUUGUUGACUGGGUUGGGGAGGGGGGCGGGGUGGUGGUGAUGGUGCUAAUUUGUCUUGCAGAUGCCUCUGCCUGGACAUCCUUGUUUUACUUCAAUUUUUUUCUCACCAGCUUUAAAAUAUUCUAACAACCCACAUUCCAAGAUUCACAUCUAUCCCAAGGUUCCCUGGCUCCUAAAUGGCUCAUGCAAAUCUUGAAGGAGUCUCUACUUUUUGAGGAGGAAAACAGCUCUUUAAUCUGGACUCCACGAUGUUGUUGAAAACACGCUUGCAGCCUAUGACAGGCCCAAGAGCUGAG
rnacentral:lncRNA from 10 species